CUGUUGCCAAAAAUUUGGACAAGGCAGGUUAUCGUGUUACAACUUUGCAUGGUGGAAAGUCACAAGAACAAAGGGAAAUUAGUCUUGAAGGGUUUAGAACAAAAAGAUAUAAUGUUCUCGUUGCCACAGAUGUUGCUGGUCGUGGAAUAGAUAUUCCUGAUGUUGCUCAUGUCAUAAAUUAUGAUAUGCCUAGUAACAUUGAAAUG
rnacentral:misc_RNA from 1 species